UCAUUAAACGUUAAACUGAACUACAUAAGGCACGACCAAACGAGAUUUCGGACACUCAGUGAAAAUAUCGUUGCAUCAGUAGAUGUGCCGGCUAUUUGCGUGACAGAGGCAAGCGCGCCCAGCAUCAUGUAAACAAACCAAAACAAAAAAAACUUUUAAUACGUCCCUGAA